ensembl:snRNA U6 U6 spliceosomal RNA
GUGAAGAGCAGCACAUAUACUAAAAUUAGAACAAUACAGAGAAAAUUAGUAUGGCCCCUUAGCAAAUGAUUUUUCCCUGUUCAUUAAAGUUGUGUUCCGUAUUC